rnacentral:rRNA from 1 species
AGUGAACGCUGGCGGUAGGCCUAACACAUGCAAGUCGAACGGCGGCACAGUAAGAGCUUGCUCUUACGGGUGGCGAGUGGCGGACGGGUGAGGAAUACAUCGGAAUCUACUUUUUCGUGGGGGAUAACGUAGGGAAACUUACGCUAAUACCGCAUACGACCUACGGGUGAAAGCAGGGGAUCUUCGGACCUUGCGCGAUUGAAUGAGCCGAUGUCGGAUUAGCUAGUUGGCGGGGUAAAGGCCCACCAAGGCGACGCUCCGUAGCUGGUCUGAGAGGAUGAUCAGCCACACUGGAACUGAGACACGGUCCAGACUCCUACGGGAGGCAGCAGUGGGGAAUAUUGGACAAUGGGCGCAAGCCUGAUCCAGCCAUACCGCGUGGGUGAAGAAGGCCUUCGGGUUGUAAAGCCCUUUUGUUGGGAAAGAAAAGCAGCAGGUUAAUACCCCGCUGUUCUGACGGUACCCAAAGAAUAAGCACCGGCUAACUUCGUG